UGUCCUCUGAUUGGCUCGGACAACCCCCUCUGACAUGCCCGUGGCCAAUCAGAGGUGAGU
ensembl:miRNA